GGUAUAGUACUUUAAUAAAAAGGAUUGAUUUGCAUUUAGUUAUUGGGUGUAUACUCCUAUACUU
rnacentral:tRNA from 1 species